CAAAAUAUAGUAUUAAAAAAAACACCUCUUUUACAAUGAGGAGAUUAUUGAGUUGCAGUAUAUUUUGA
rnacentral:tRNA from 1 species